rnacentral:rRNA from 1 species
UACGGGGGGGGCAAGCGUUGUUCGGAAUUACUGGGCGUAAAGGGCUCGUAGGCGGCCAACUAAGUCAGACGUGAAAUCCCUCGGCUUAACCGGGGAACUGCGUCUGAUACUGGAUGGCUUGAAUCCGGGAGAGGGAUGCGGAAUUCCAGGUGUAGCGGUGAAAUGCGUAGAUAUCGUGAGGAAGACCAGUGGCGAAGGCGGAUCUCUGGACAGUUCCUGACGCUGAGGCACGAAGGCCAGGGGAGCAAACGGG